ensembl:lncRNA MALAT1 metastasis associated lung adenocarcinoma transcript 1
AGAAGAAUUUGGAAGGCCUUAAAUAUAGUAGCUUAGUUUGAAAAAUGUGAAGGACUUUCGUAACGGAAGUAAUUCAAGAUCAAGAGUAAUUACCAACUUAAUGUUUUUGCAUUGGACUUUGAGUUAAGAUUAUUUUUUAAAUCCUGAGGACUAGCAUUAAUUGACAGCUGACCCAGGAGCCAGUGCGAUUUGGUGAAGGAAGCUAGGAAGAAGGAAGGAGCGCUAACGAUUUGGUGGUGAAGCUAGGAAAAAGGAUUCCAGGAAGGAGCGAGUGCAAUUUGGUGAUGAAGGUAGCAGGCGGCUUGGCUUGGCAACCACACGGAGGAGGCGAGCAGGCGUUGUGCGUAGAGGAU